ACACGCAUGACACACUGCAUAUCAAUAAGCGGAGGAAAAGAAACUAACAAGGAUUCCCUUAGUAACGGCGAGUGAAGCGGGAAGAGCUCAAAUUUGAAAUCUUCAAGGUUUUACCUUGACGAAUUGUAGUUUAAAGAAGUGUUUUCUGUUGAAGUUUUGGUAAAAGUUCUUUGGAAUAGGACAUCAUAGAGGGUGAGAAUCCCGUAUUUGACCAUUAUUUUCAGCUGUGUGAUACACUUUCAAAGAGUCGGAUUGUUUGGGAAUGCAGUCCAAAAUGGGUGGUAAAUUUCAUCUAAAGCUAAAUAUUGGCGAGAGACCGAUAGCGAACAAGUACCGUGAGGGAAAGAUGAAAAGAACUUUGAAAAGAGAGUUAAACAGUACGUGAAAUUGUCAAAAGGGAAGCGUUUGACACCAGUGUUGUUUUCUCGAAAAUCAAUUACGAAUGUUUUGAUUUUUGAGGAGUAUUGACUUCAUCGGCUUGCUCCUUUCUUUACGAAACUUUCUUAAUGCACUUUUCGGUUAACAAGUCAACAUCAAUUUCUUUUGUUGUAAAAGGGUAUGAGGAAGGUGGCUUUCUUUUCGGAGAAAGUGUUUAUAGCCUUGUACCUCUGCAAUCGGAGAGAUUGAGGUCUGCAGCGUAGAUCCUUCGGGGUUAGAUGCAUUUGUGCUAAGUUAUAGCCUUUCAUAGACAACUUGUUGACUAUGAUCAGUCAUGUAGCUUACUCGCUUAUGCUAUUUUACCUACGCUUAGGAUGUUGACUGAUAUGUAGUCGUA
rnacentral:rRNA from 1 species